rnacentral:SRP_RNA from 1 species
UCGUGCUAGAUGGGGAGGUAGCGGUGCCCUGUAACCCGCAAUCCGCUAUAGCGGGGUUGAUGUCUGGCCGAGGGUUUUCGUUUGUGAAACGGUCGGUCGUAAGUGGUGUUGAGGAUCGGGUCCUGCGCGACCAAGCCUCCUGAACCGUGUCAGGUCCGGAAGGAAGCAGCACUAAGGGAAUCGCUUGUGUGUGCCGCAGGGGUGCCUGGUCUGAGCUAACUGCUGCCGAUCCUUCACCAAACGAGAUUCGAAGCCAGAUGCACGG